AGAACUGUCCCAAAUUUCGGCAACGUGAAAGGCAGGCAGCGCGUCACACCGCAUCGAAAUGCAUGAGACCUGCAAUAUUUUGAUUCUUUUUCUUUGGCGCUCCCCACCUGCAUUACAAAAACGCGUGUAAAAGCCAAUUGGGCACAUCGCUGGCCCUAGCUGCUGAUAAAUUGCGCUGUUGGCUCUUAUUCGUUUUGUAAUUGUGCGUCACAACAAAAUGAGCAACUCAAAGGCAUAAAGACACGACCAACAGAAUCCUACCAGCUACGAAUGCCAAAGAGACAUUUGCACAAGCAAAUGCGUCAUAAUUCACGAAUUGCUUGUAUUGUACAAUGUGGUCGAGGCAGGGGACUGAGCACUUUAGUAGGCAUCACAGCAAUGCGUGCAUCAUUAAGCGCUUAAACCCGACGAUACAGUAUCUUUAUUAAAAAUGAGUUUCGAAAAAAGUACCGCAAAUGCUGAAAUGGAUAUUGCAGCGGUGAGGGAAAAGAGAAAAUAAACAACAACAACAACGCCUGCAAGAGAGUUACGCGAAAUUAAGAAAGCAAUCAGAAAUCUGCAAACAUGGCACAGGGCAUUAUGAAAAACGCCAAAAGGCCAGCCAACAAGCUAAUGAAUUCCAAAGCCGAAACCCAAAACAAAAAAACCGAAACCGAAAACGAAUGUAACAUAAAACAGCGAAUCAGCUGAAUGCGACUUGAGUGAAACGACCAAAACAAAAAACAACAAAAAAAAAAGACGCUGGCACCAACCCGCACCCACGCUGCGACAUGAGGGUCGCUGCAGCUUGCUGCAUAAAUUGUACUGAAAAUAUUCGCCAAAUUAGCAAUAUUGAUAUAUGUAUUACCACAUCCGGUAAUAAUCAUAGAUAAAUCAGUUGGAACCGGACAUGCAAACAAUAUGUGGACUUUACAUAUUUUUAGAAAUACAAACAAAUAUCCGAAAUAAAGGAAUAAAACUAAGUA